GGAGCUUGCUCUUCUUGAUCAGUGGCGAACGGGUGAGUAACACGUGAGUAACCUGCCCUUGACUCUGGGAUAACGUCCGGGAAACCGGGCUAAUACGUGGAUACGAAGCGCCGUCGGCAGUCGGGUGCGUCGUAGGUAAGUUUUCGGUCGAAGGAGUGGACUCGCGGCCUAUCAGCUUGUGGCGGGUAACGGCCCACCAAGGCGUCGACGGGUAGCCGGCCUGAGAGGGCGACCGGCCACAUUGGGACUGAGACACGGCCCAAACUCCUACGGGAGGCAGCAGUAGGGAAUCUUCCACAAUGGACGCAAGUCUGAUGGAGCAACGCCGCGUGAGUGAAGAAGGUUUCGGAUCGUAAAGCUCUGUUGUUGGUGAAGAAGGAUA
rnacentral:rRNA from 1 species